rnacentral:rRNA from 1 species
AGAGUUUGAUCAUGGCUCAGAGCGAACGCUGGCGGCAGGCCUAAUACAUGCAAGUCGAGCGCACCUUCGGGUGAGCGGCGGACGGGUGAGUAACGCGUGGGAAUAUGCCCUUUGGUACGGAACAACUGAGGGAAACUUCAGCUAAUACCGUAUGUGCCCUUCGGGGGAAAGAUUUAUCGCCAUUGGAGUAGCCCGCGUUGGAUUAGGUAGUUGGUGAGGUAAAGGCUCACCAAGCCUACGAUCCAUAGCUGGUCUGAGAGGAUGAUCAGCCACACUGGGACUGAGACACGGCCCAGACUCCUACGGGAGGCAGCAGUAGGGAAUCUUGCGCAAUGGGCGAAAGCCUGACGCAGCCAUGCCGCGUGAAUGAUGAAGGUCUUAGGAUUGUAAAAUUCUUUCACCGGGGAAGAUAAUGACGGUACCCGGAGAAGAAGCCCCGGCUAACUUCGUGCCAGCAGCCGCGGUAAUACGAAGGGGGCUAGCGUUGCUCGGAAUUACUGGGCGUAAAGGGCGCGUAGGCGGAUAUUUAAGUUAGAGGUGAAAGCCCAGGGCUCAACCCUGGAAUAGCCUUUAAUACUGGAUAUCUUGAGUUCGGGAGAGGUGAGUGGAACUCCGAGUGUAGAGGUGAAAUUCGUAGAUAUUCGGAAGAACACCAGUGGCGAAGGCGACUCACUGGCCCGAUACUGACGCUGAGGCUCGAAAGCGUGGGGAGCAAACAGGAUUAGAUACCCUAGUAGUCC